UGAUGCCCACGGGGGGCAGCAGUGAGGAAUAUUGGUCAAUGGGCGGGAGCCUGAACCAGCCAAGUCGCGUGAGGGAAGACGGUCCUAUGGAUUGUAAACCUCUUUAGGCGGGGAGCAAUGCCGGGCACGUGUGCCCGGAGGGAGAGUACCCGCAGAAUAAGCAUCGGCUAACUCCGUGCCAGCAGCCGCGGUAAUACGGAGGAUGCGAGCGUUAUCCGGAUUUAUUGGGUUUAAAGGGUGCGUAGGCGGAUUUUUAAGUCAGCGGUAAAAUGUCCGGGCUCAACCCCGUCGAGCCGUUGAAACUG
rnacentral:rRNA from 1 species